rfam:Picea glauca, whole genome shotgun sequence.
AUGUACAUGCCUACAACAUAGCGUUAAUGCACCGGAUCCCAUUAGAACUCUAUAUUUGAGCGUGCUCAGGCUAGAGUAGUACUGGGAUGGGUGACCGCUUGGGAAGUCCUAGUAUUUUACAUA